rnacentral:snRNA from 1 species
AUGCUCACUUUGGCAGCAUAUUAAAAUUGGAACAAUACAGAUUAGCAUGGCCCCUGCACCAAGAUGACAUGCAAAUUCAUAAUAUAAGUAGCUAACAAAAUUCUU